rnacentral:ncRNA from 1 species
GUCUAAGUAAAUGCCGUAUUAAGGUGAAACCGCGAAUGGCUCAUUAAAUCAGUUAUGGUUCCUUGGAUCGUAUCUUACUACUUGGAUAACUGUGGCAAUUCUAGAGCUAAUACAUGCAGCAGAGCUCCGACCCUCUGGGGACGAGUGCUUACCUCGUUACUGAAGAAACAAUCAUUUUAGCAUAAAUUUGUGUGGUCACUAACUUGGUUUCAUAGCUGCAUAUCUGCACAGCAUAUAUCUGAAACUGAA